rnacentral:rRNA from 1 species
AUUGAACGCUGGCGGCAGGCCUAAUACAUGCAAGUCGAACGGUAACAUAAAAGAAGCUUGCUUCUUUUGAUGACGAGUGGCGGACGGGUGAGUAAUAUUUUGGGAAACUACCUGAUAGAGGGGGACAACAGUUGGAAACGACUGCUAAUACCGCAUAUAGCCUGAGGGUGAAAGCAGCAAUGCGCUAUCAGAUGUGCCCAAACGGGAUUAGCUAGUAGGUGAGGUAAAGGCUCACCUAGGCGACGAUCUCUAGCUGGUCUGAGAGGAUGAUCAGCCACAUUGGGACUGAGACACGGCCCAGACUCCUACGGGAGGCAGCAGUAGGAAUAUUGCACAAUGGAGGAAACUCUGAUGCAGCCAUGCCGCGUGUGUGAAGAAGGCCUUC